AUUGAACGCUGGCGGCAGGCCUAACACAUGCAAGUCGAGCGGUAGAAGGGAGCUUGCUUCCUUUGAGAGCGGCGGACGGGUGAGUAAUGCCUAGGAAUCUGCCUGGUAGUGGGGGGAUAACGUUCGGAAACGGACGCUAAUACCGCAUACGUCCUACGGGAGAAAGUGGGGGAUCUUCGGACCUCACGCUAUCAGAUGAGCCUAGGUCGGAUUAGCUAGUUGGUGAGGUAAUGGCUCACCAAGGCGACGAUCCGUAACUGGUCUGAGAGGAUGAUCAGUCACACUGGAACUGAGACACGGUCCAGACUCCUACGGGAGGCAGCAGUGGGGAAUAUUGGACAAUGGGCGCAAGCCUGAUCCAGCCAUGCCGCGUGUGUGAAGAAGGUCUUCGGAUUGUAAAGCACUUUAAGUUGGGAGGAAGGGUAGUAGCUUAAUACGUUGCUACUUUGACGUUACCGACAGAAUAAGCACCGGCUAACUCCGUG
rnacentral:rRNA from 1 species